UGCGCUAAAUCAACAAUCCGAGUC
rnacentral:siRNA from 1 species